rnacentral:rRNA from 1 species
AUUGAACGCUGGCGGCAGGCCUAACACAUGCAAGUCGAACGGUAACAGGAAGAGGCUUGCUUCUUUGCUGUCGAGUGGCGGACGGGUGAGACAUGUCUGGGACACUGCCUGAUGGCGGGGGAUAACUACUGGAAACGGUAGCUAAUACCGCAUAAUGUCGCAAGACCAAAGAGGGGGACCUUAGGGCCGUUUGCCAUCGGAUGUGCCCUGAUGGGACUAGCUAGUAGGUGGGGUAACGGCUAACCAAGGCGACGAUCCCUAGCUGGUCUGAGAGGUUGACCAGCCACACUGGAACUGAGACACGGUCCAGACUCCUACGGGAGGCAGCAGUGGGGAAUAUUGCGCAAUGGGCGCAAGCCUGACGCAGCUAUGCCGCGUGUAUGAAGAAGGCCUUCGGGUUGUAAAGCACUUUCAGCGGGGAGGAAGAGAUUAAAGUUAAUACCUGCGCUCAUUGACGUUACCCGCAGAGGAAGCACCGGCUAACUCCGUG